GCCGUGGUAGCUCAGUUGGGAGAGCGUCAGACUGAAGAUCUGCAGGUCGUUUGUUCAAGCCAGACUCAUGGCA